UCAGGCCUAACACAUGCAAGUCGAACGGUAACAGGCCUUCGGUCUGGUGGCGAGUGGCGAACGGGUGAGUAAAGUAUCGGAACGUGCCUGGUAGUGGGGGAUAACGAGUCGAAAGAUUCGCUAAUACCGCAUACGACCUACGGGUGAAAGCAGGGGACCUUCGGGCCUUGUGCUAUCAGAGCGGCCGAUAUCUGAUUAGCUAGUUGGUGGGGUAAAGGCCCACCAAGGCGACGAUCAGUAGCUGGUCUGAGAGGACGACCAGCCACACUGGAACUGAGACACGGUCCAGACUCCUACGGGAGGCAGCAGUGGGGAAUUUUGGACAAUGGGGGCAACCCUGAUCCAGCAAUGCCGCGUGAGUGAAGAAGGCCCUCGGGUUGAAAUCUAUGGGUCAGGAAGAAAAGGUUGUGGCUAAUAU
rnacentral:rRNA from 1 species